CUCGACUCCCCUGGCCUCCGCGCGCAGUUCACCGUCCCGGAUCUCCGCCCCGGCACGCUCGACUCCCUGCUCGCCCUCAGCGACAACCUCGUCAAGUCCAACAUCUUCAUCGAGGGUGUCUCGCACAAGAUCCGCCGGCAGAUCGAGGACCUGGAGCGUGCCGGAGGGGUCGAGCCCGGCACCCUCACCGUCGACGGCGUCCCCGUGGACAGCUAUCUCACCAGGUUCGUGUGGGGCGAGGGAAAGUACCCCGUCAACGCCCCGCUCAAGGAGACCGUCACCAGCAUCCAGUCCCAGGUCGCCAAGAUCGAGGACCUGUCUAUUAUGGACAUUUUGUUUCAC
rnacentral:rRNA from 1 species